rnacentral:lncRNA from 1 species
CAGCAGGCAAUGACAGAGACAGGAGACGAAAAACACAGCCAAUGAAUCAGACAACCUGCCUCCCUUGUUUUGCUGGAAUAGUCGUCCUUCUUUUAUGGAGGUCCUGAAACAGGGCUUACAACUGAGAAAACAGAAAUCUGGCUAUGUCAUCCAAAUCAUUCCACUGGACCCUGCUGCCUCUCAGAAUUCAGUAACACAGGUAUU